GAGAGAGUGAAUAUGGGGGGGGGGGGGGGGGGGGGGUCUGCAGCUGAAGGGAGACGAUGAGAGUCAAACCCACCUGACCUCUCCCUCUCUCUCUCUCUCUCUCCCCCUCCCCCCCCCCUCUCUCUCUCUCUCUCCCCCUCUCUCACCUCGACUCUCUUC